rnacentral:rRNA from 1 species
GACGAACGCUGGCGGCGUGCUUAACACAUGCAAGUCGAACGGAAAGGCCCUGCGUUUGUUGGGUUGUCGUUUGGCGAACGGGGGAGUGACACGUGAGGAACCUGCACUUGACUGUGGGGGAACUUCAGGGAACUGGGGCUCAUACCGCGGAGGAGCUCCUGCACCAUAGUGGGGAUUGGAGAGUUUCGGCGGUUGGGGAUGUACUCGCUGCUUAUCAGCUUGUUGGGGGAGUAGUGGCUUACCAAGGCUUUGACGGGUAGCCGGCCUGAGAGGGUGACCGGCUACAUUGGGACUGAGAUACGGCCCAGACGCCUACGCGAGGCAGCAGUGGGGAAGCUUGCACAAUGGGCGGAAGCCUGAUGCAGCAACGCCGCGUGCGGGAUGACGGUCUUAGGGUUGUAAAACGAUUUCGCCUGUGACGAAGCGUGAGUGACGGUAAUGGGUACAGAAGCACCGGCUAACUACGUG